rnacentral:rRNA from 1 species
CCAUUCCGAACACAGAAGUUAAGCUCUCUAGCGCUGAUGGUACUUGGUGGGAAACUGCCUGGGAGAGUAGGACGUAGCCACGU